ACUCUUUUAGUUUAUAUUUAAAAUAUGACUCUGAAGAAGUUAAGAAUAUUAGGAGUA
rnacentral:tRNA from 11 species